rnacentral:rRNA from 1 species
UACGUAGGGUGCAAGCGUUGUCCGGAAUUAUUGGGCGUAAAGAGCUCGUAGGCGGUUUGUUGCGUCGGCUGUGAAAUCCCGAGGCUCAACCUCGGGUCUGCAGUCGAUACGAGCAAACUAGAGUGUUGCAGGGGAGACUGGAAUUCCUGGUGUAGCGGUGAAAUGCGCAGAUAUCAGGAGGAACACCGGUGGCGAAGGCGGGUCUCUGGGCAACAACUGACGCUGGAGGAAGCGAAAGCCGUGGGGAGCGAACAGG